rnacentral:rRNA from 1 species
CAUUGGGACUGAGACACGGCCCAAACUCCUACGGGAGGCAGCAGUAGGGAAUCUUCGGCAAUGGACGAAAGUCUGACCGAGCAACGCCGCGUGAGUGAAGAAGGUUUUCGGAUCGUAAAACUCUGUUGUUAGAGAAGAAUGUUGAUUAGAGCGGCAAACACUCAAGGACGGUAUCUAACCAGAAAGGGACGGCUAACUACGUGCCAGCAGCCGCGGUAAUACGUAGGU